GGUCAUUUGGAGUCGUGGGCCCUGGGCGGUCGCCCGGGUUGCCCACCGUCGGCCCUGAAAAUAGCUAUGGAAAAUUUCCGUAGGUAGUUACCUAUAUAAUAUCAACGGAAUGGGAUGCCCUAAUUUAGUAACAGAAUAACACACGUCAUGAAGUCCAAUAAUAAGAAGUUAAAUAACCCGGUUUCACAACCCUUAUUGGGUUUGGUUCGUCGGAAUUGAAUGGAAUUCGGGGGAAAAGGAAUCCAAUUCCUUUGGAUUCCGGCGUUUGGUUCAACAUUAAGGAAAGGAAAAUGAUUCCUAAAUGAGCAAACAUUCCAUCAAAUGGAGGAAAAUACUUUCCUUCAAAGAAAGGAGGGAAUUAAUUCCAUACCAUCUAGGAAAGUGAAAAGUACAAUUAUACCCUUUUAAUUUCACAAAAUCAUUCUAACCCUAUCUCACGUAUUCUCCAUCUCUACGUCAAAAUCAGAUUGCAACCGACUUCAACACAACACUCGUCUUCUACAUCUCGUCUUCUGCCAGUUAUAGCUUAAGUACUCCCUAGAUCCUAUGUAUCAUCAAUAUUUCAACAUUGUGGAAGAAAACAUUGGUGUUCUAGGUUGUUGAACAUUCAAAUGUUGCAGGGAUGGGAGUUCAAUGGUUUAUUUGUAUUAAAUUGAAGACAAUUACUUCAUAAUAUUUUCAUGGAGAUUAGAUAUAAUGAUAGAAAGAUAGAUGUUAAAAUGGCAAAUUGUGUUACUUUCAUGUUAUUGAAGACCUAAUACUGAUGAUGGUUUGUUUAA